UGCAGUCCAGGCGAAGGACGAGAGGUCGGUCCUCUGAGGUAGCGGCGGACGGGUGAGUAAACGUGGACACCAACUAUAAGAAUCGGGAUAACCUCGGGAAACCGGAGCUAAUACCGGAUAAUAUUCCCGAACCGCAGGGUCCAAAAGGGAAAGACGGUCUCCGCUCGUCACUUCAUAGAGGGAUCCGCGCUGCAUUAGCUAGUUGGUAAGGUAACGGCUUACCAAGGCAACGAUGCAUAGCCGACCUGAGAGGGUGAUCGGCCACACUGGAACUGAGACACGGUCCAGACUCCUACGGGAGGCAGCAGUAGGGAAUCUUCCGCAAUGGGCGAAAGCCUGACGGAGCAACGCCGCGUGAGUGAUGAAGGUCUUCGGAUCGUAAAACUCUGUUAUUAGGGAAGAACAUAUGUGUAAGUAACUGUGCACAUCUUGACGGUACCUAAUCAGAAAGCCACGGCUAACUACGUGCCAGCAGCCGCGGUAAUACGUAGGUG
rnacentral:rRNA from 1 species